rnacentral:rRNA from 1 species
GAUGAACGCUGGCGGCGUGCCUAAUACAUGCAAGUCGAGCGAACAGACGAGGAGCUUGCUCCUCUGACGUUAGCGGCGGACGGGUGAGUAACACGUGGAUAACCUACCUAUAAGACUGGGAUAACUUCGGGAAACCGGAGCUAAUACCGGAUAAUAUAUUGAACCGCAUGGUUCAAUAGUGAAAGACGGUUUUGCUGUCACUUAUAGAUGGAUCCGCGCCGCAUUAGCUAGUUGGUAAGGUAACGGCUUACCAAGGCAACGAUGCGUAGCCGACCUGAGAGGGUGAACGGCCACACUGGAACUGAGACACGGUCCAGACUCCUACGGGAGGCAGCAGUAGGGAAUUUUCCGAAAUGGGCGAAAGCCUGACGGAGCAACGCCGGGGGGGUGAUGAAGGUCUUCGGAUCGUAAAACUCUGUUAUUAGGGAAGAAAAAAUGUGUAAGUAACUAUGCACGUCUUGACGGUACCUAAUCAGAAAGCCCCGGCAAACUACGC